UUUUUUUUUGGUGUGAGCCUACAACAUUGUGACAAGAAGAUGAAAGAACAGUGAUGAUAUCAGAAGAGUUCAAAUUACACUGAGAUCGUUAUAAUUUCAAAGCAUUUCAUCUUUUGCUCCACAUUCUGCAAAUCUGUGGAAGAUCGCUGGAAGCUUUAUUGUCAUCACAUAAAUUUCACUGUGGCUGUUGAUAGUUUAUGACCUUCUAAACACCAUGAAAGCAUCAUAAACAUUGUGUUGUGUAUAUACACUGAAAAUGACUGAGAAGGAUCGCAUACUUCAUCAUUCAGUCCCUGAGGCAGCUGGAAAUUGUACAGUCUGAAGAAAAAGUCUGGGAGUAUAGAAAGAAAUGAAUCUCCAUCUAUCUACAAGAAUGUCAUUUUUCAUAGUCUUCACUACAAAUCACUCCUGUGUGGAAUCCUGAAAGGGCUCAGCAGUGCCAAAUGUUUGUGUUUUGAGGUUUUUUUUUUUCAUGUUGGUUUUGAGACUAAGGAGGACAAAUCGAUAAUCUUAAUGAAACAUUUGAUAACUUUG